rnacentral:rRNA from 1 species
AGAGUUUGAUCCUGGCUCAGGACGAACGCUGGCGGCGUGCCUAACACAUGCAAGUCGAACGGGACCGGGGGCAACUCCGGUUCAGUGGCGGACGGGUGCGUAACACGUGAGGAACAUGACUUUCGGCGGGGGAUAGCCGGCCCAACGGCCGGGUAAUACCGCGUACGACCUUUCGGGGACAUCCCCGGUUGGUGAAAGCAGCAAUGCACCGAAAGAGUGCCUCGCGGCCUAUCAGCUAGUUGGUGGGGUAAUGGCCCACCAAGGCGACGACGGGUAGCUGGUCUGAGAGGAUGGCCAGCCACAUUGGGACUGAGACACGGCCCAGACUCCUACGGGAGGCAGCAGUGGGGAAUAUUGCGCAAUGGGCGAAAGCCUGACGCAGCGACGCCGCGUGUGGGAUGACGGCCUUCGGGUUGUAAACCACUGUCGGGAGGGACGAAUGCCCCGCAAGGGGAGUGACGGUACCUCCAAAGGAAGCACCGGCUAACUCCGUGCCAGCCGCCGCGGUAAUAC